UUUAUUGGAGAGUUUGAUCCUGGCUCAGGAUGAACGCUGGCGGCGUGCCUAAUACAUGCAAGUCGAGCGAAUGG
rnacentral:rRNA from 2 species